rnacentral:rRNA from 1 species
GAAAUUUGCAGCUUAACUGUAAAAGUGCCGUUGAUACUGUGAGGCUAGGAUUUGGUUGCUGUGGGUGGAAUGUGUGGUGUAGCGGUGAAAUGCUUAGAGAUCACACAGAAUAUCGAUUGCGAAGGGCAGCUCACAAAGCCAAGAUUGACGCUGAGGCACGAAAGUGUGGGGAUCAAACAGGAUUAGAUACCCUGGUAGUCCCACACUGUAAACGAUGAUAACUCGCUGUCGGCGAUAUACAGUCGGUGGCCAAGCGAAAGCGAUAAGUUAUCCACCUGGGGAGUACGACCGCAAGGUUGAAACUCAAAGGAAUUGACGGGGGCCCGCACAAGCGGAGGAACAUGUGGUUUAAUUCGAUGAUACGCGAGGAACCUUACCCGGGCUCGAACGGUGCAGGAAUAUGGUAGAGAUAUCAUAGCUAGCAAUAGUCUGUAUCGAGGUGCUGCAUGGUUGUCGUCAGCUCGUGCCGUGAGGUGUCGGCUUAAGUGCCAUAACGAGCGCAACCCUUGUCAUUAGUUACCAUCAGGUCAAGCUGGGGACUCUAAUGAGACUGCCACCGUAAGGUGAGAGGAAGGGGGGGAUGACGUCAAAUCAGCACGGCCCUUAUGUCCGGGGCGACACACGUGUUACAAUGGGGGGUACAGAGGGCAGCCAUCCGGCGACGGAGCGCCAAUCUCAAAAACCCUUCUCAGUUCGGAUUGGAGUCUGCAACCCGACUCCAUGAAGUUGGAUUCGCUAGUAAUCGCGCAUCAGCCAUGGCGCGGUGAAUACGUUCCCGGGCCUUGUACACACCGCCCGUCAAGCCAUGGAAGCUUGGGGUGCCUGAAGUUCGUGACCGCAAGGAGCGACUUAG